AAGCGACGUUCAACCUCAAAAGAAGCAGAGGGGGCUUAGUGGUGGGGUGACUGCGUACCUUUUGUAUAAUGGGUCAGCGACUUAUAUUCUGUAGCAAGGUUAACCGAAUAGGGGAGCCGCAGGGAAACCGAGUCUUAACCGGGCGUUAAGUUGCAGGGUAUAGACCCGAAACCCGGUGAUCUAGCCAUGGGCAGGUUGAAGGUUGGGUAACACUAACUGGAGGACCGAACCGACUAAUGUUGAAAAAUUAGCGGAUGACCUGUGGCUGGGGGUGAAAGGCCAAUCAAACCGGGAGAUAGCUGGUUCUCCCCGAAAGCUAUUUAGGUAGCGCCUCGUGAAUUCAUCUCCGGGGGUAGAGCACUGUUUCGGCUAGGGGGCCAUCCCGGCUUACCAACCCGAUGCAAACUGCGAAUACCGGAGAAUGUUAUCACGGGAGACACACGGCGGGUGCUAACGUCCGUCGUGAAGAGGGAAACAACCCAGACCGCCAGCUAAGGUCCCAAAGUCAUGGUUAAGUGGGAAACGAUGUGGGAAGGCCCAGACAGCCAGGAUGUUGGCUUAGAAGCAGCCAUCAUUUAAAGAAAGCGUAAUAGCUCACUGGUCGAGUCGGCCUGCGCGGAAGAUGUAACGGGGCUAAACCAUGCACCGAAGCUGCGGCAGCGACGCUGAUGCGUUGUUGGGUAGGGGAGCGUUCUGUAAGCCUGUGAAGGUGGCCUGUGAGGGUUGCUGGAGGUAUCAGAAGUGCGAAUGCUGACAUAAGUAACGAUAAAGCGGGUGAAAAGCCCGCUCGCCGGAAGACCAAGGGUUCCUGUCCAACGUUAAUCGGGGCAGGGUGAGUCGACCCCUAAGGCGAGGCCGAAAGGCGUAGUCGAUGGGAAACGGGUUAAUAUUCCCGUACUUGGUGUUACUGCGAAGGGGGGACGGAGAAGGCUAUGUUGGCCGGGCGACGGUUGUCCCGGUUUAAGCGUGUAGGUGUGUGUUCCAGGUAAAUCCGGUUCACUUUAACACUGAGGCGUGACGACGAGGCACUACGGUGCUGAAGCAACAAAUGCCCUGCUUCCAGGAAAAGCCUCUAAGCAUCAGGUAACAUCAAAUCGUACCCCAAACCGACACAGGUGGUCAGGUAGAGAAUACCAAGGCGCUUGAGAGAACUCGGGUGAAGGAACUAGGCAAAAUGGUGCCGUAACUUCGGGAGAAGGCACGCUGACACGUAGGUGAAGUGAUUUACUCAUGGAGCUGAAGUCAGUCGAAGAUACCAGCUGGCUGCAACUGUUUAUUAAAAACACAGCACUGUGCAAACACGAAAGUGGACGUAUACGGUGUGACGCCUGCCCGGUGCCGGAAGGUUAAUUGAUGGGGUCAGCGCAAGCGAAGCUCCUGAUCGAAGCCCCGGUAAACGGCGGCCGUAACUAUAACGGUCCUAAGGUAGCGAAAUUCCUUGUCGGGUAAGUUCCGACCUGCACGAAUGGCGUAAUGAUGGCCAGGCUGUCUCCACCCGAGACUCAGUGAAAUUGAACUCGCUGUGAAGAUGCAGUGUACCCGCGGCAAGACGGAAAGACCCCGUGAACCUUUACUAUAGCUUGACACUGAACAUUGAGCCUUGAUGUGUAG
rnacentral:rRNA from 1 species